AGUGUGGCUCCCAGGUCGGAGAAGCACAAUAGACCGACCAUCCCCACGGGAGUACCCGUGUAAUCCACGAUAAAACCGGGAAAACUAACCAGCAAGGCCAAACGCACAGAAGUCGCUUCAAAUGAACGGCUUUUACAGACAAACGGUGAACUUUGUUCAGGUCAAGUUGAUCCUCGUUUUCCUGCUUCGAUCAAACAGACGUUUCAGGUUUUCCCCGGUUCUCGGGACACUUGGGGCCGGAGAGAGGGGUCCGUGAUAGCGGCACCUGCAAGGCCUCCCGGCGGAGGGAAACAGCGACGUUUGAAGAACAAUGACUCGUACCAGGCACAGCACUGCCAUCUGGCGGUCAGAAAUAUUAUACGUUUUUAUUUUGUUCACAAUGAAAAAUUACAUUUUAACUAACUGGGGCCCUAAAUGACAGUUAUUCAGUGACCGACUACUGAGGAGUUACUGGUAAACAGUCUAGGGGACUACUGUAUUCAUUACUGAGCAACGAAUGAUGAACAACUGGGGCUCUAACUGGGGCCCUAAGUGACAGUUAUUCAGUCACUACUGAGGAGUUACUUUUAAACAGAGUAGGGGAUACUGUAUUGAUUAAUCAUUCUGUGAAUUGGCAAACAGCCAAUUUAUUAUGAAAGCAACUGUAUUUUCCUUGGAUUUCACAACUAUUAUUCAAUUAACAGGGCACAGACAGGUUGAUUGUCAUAUUUGAAUAAAGAUUCACAAUACAUACAUUAAUAUUUACAUUUAAGGUUUAUUAUGUGCCGUAGUAAUGUUAAAAGUUGUUGCAAUAGUAAUGUUAAAAUCUUAAAAGCAAUUGUCCACCGCUGCAGGGCACACUUUAAACCUGCCGCCCUUGGUUUCAAGCGCUGUUGAGGGCUGGCUUGGGGAUCCACACUGGAUCGACUGAUAGAGCUGGAUCGGACUGAUCAUGAGUUGUUACUCAUUCACGAACCAUUCGUUCACCAGUAGUGAUGCUUUUGGUGUGCCUUCAUGUAAAGUCAUGCAUCAUACUGAGUUGUUACUCUUUCGCGAAUCAUUCGUUCACCAGUAGUUAAGCUUUUUGAACCAUAAUACGGUAUCCCCUAGUCGGUUUAACAGUAACUCCUCAGUAGCUAAAGAAUAACAGUCCCUUAGGGCCCCAGUUGUUCAUCAUUAGUUACUCAGUAAUGAAUACAGUAGUCCCCUAGUCUGUUUACCAGUAACUCCUCAGUAGUUACUGAAUCACUUAGGGCCCCUUUAGGGCCCCACUUAGGGCCCUGGUCAUUCAUCAUUCGUUACUCAUUCGUUCCUCAGUAACUACCCACGUUUUUGCGUACCUUAUUGUAAAGUGUUACCGGGAAAUCUAGUUCAGUCACUGUGGUGAAAGGAUUAAUUAGGUUGUACAAACCUACCUUGAAUGAACCUUUCAU
rnacentral:lncRNA from 1 species